rnacentral:tRNA from 1 species
GUCGGGAUAGCUCAGUUGGUAGAUCAGAGGACUGAAAAUCCUC